AACGAACGCUGGCGGCAGGCUUAACACAUGCAAGUCGAACGCAUCCUUCGGGGUGAGUGGCAGACGGGUGAGUAACGCGUGGGAACGUGCCCUUCAGUUCGGGAUAACCCAAGGAAACUUGGGCUAAUACCGGAUACGUGCGAGAGCAGAAAGAUUUAUCGCUGAAGGAUCGGCCCGCGUCUGAUUAGCUAGUUGGUGGGGUAAUGGCCACCAAGGCGACGAUCAGUAGCUGGUCUGAGAGGAUGAUCAGCCACAUUGGGACUGAGACACGGCCCAAACUCCUACGGGAGGCAGCAGUGGGGAAUAUUGGACAAUGGGCGCAAGCCUGAUCCAGCCAUGCCGCGUGAGUGAUGAAGGCCUUAGGGUUGUAAAGCUCUUCGUCCGGGACGAUAAUGACGGUACCGGAAGAAGAAGCCCCGGCUAACUUCGUGCCAGCCGCCGCGGUAA
rnacentral:rRNA from 1 species